UACGUAGGGUGCAAGCGUUGUCCGGAAUUAUUGGGCGUAAAGAGCUCGUAGGCGGUGUGUCGCGUCGGCCGUGAAAACCUGCAGCUUAACUGUGGGCUUGCGGUCGAUACGGGCAUCACUGGAGUUCGGCAGGGGGAGACUGGAAUUCCUGGUGUAGCGGUGAAAUGCGCAGAUAUCAGGAGGAACACCGGUGGCGAAGGCGGGUCUCUGGGGCCGAUACUGACGCUGAGGAGCGAAAAGCGUGGGGGAGCGAACAGG
rnacentral:rRNA from 1 species